UACAGAGGGGGCAAGCGUUAUUCGGAAUUAUUGGGCGUAAAGGGCGCGUAGGCGGCUUUGCAAGUGACGGGUGAAAGCCCUCGGCUUAACCGAGGAACUGCCUGUCAGACUGUGAGGCUUGAGACCGGGAGAGGUGAGUGGAAUUCCCAGUGUAGCGGUGAAAUGCGUAGAUAUUGGGAGGAACACCAGUGGCGAAGGCGGCUCACUGGCCCGGUACUGACGCUCAUGUGCGAAAGCGUGGGGAGCAAACAGG
rnacentral:rRNA from 1 species